GAUAAACGCUGGCGGCGCACAUAAGACAUGCAAGUCGAACGAACUUAAUUUUAAUAUUUAUAUUAAAAAGCGGUUAGUGGCGGACUGGUGAGUAACGCGUAAGCAAUCUGCCUAUCAGAGGGGAAUAACAGUGAGAAAUCAUUGCUAAUACCGCAUAUGCCAUAAGAAUCACAUGAUUCUAGUGGGAAAGGAGCAAUCCACUGAUAGAUGAGCUUGCGUCUGAUUAGCUAGUUGGCGGGGUAACGGCCUACCAAGGCGACGAUCAGUAGCCGGACUGAGAGGUUGAACGGCCACAUUGGGACUGAGAUACGGCCCAGACUCCUACGGGAGGCAGCAGUCGGGAAUAUUGCGCAAUGGAGGAAACUCUGACGCAGUGACGCCGCGUAUAGGAAGAAGGUUUUCGGAUUGUAAACUAUUGUCGUUAGGGAAGAUAAAAGACAGUACCUAAGGAGGAAGCUCCGG
rnacentral:rRNA from 1 species